rnacentral:rRNA from 1 species
CUUUACUGUAGCCUGGUAUUGGGUUCGGGCUUUGACUGCGCAGGAUAGGUGGGAGACUAUGAAGCUGCCCUUGUGGGGGCAGUGGAGUCAUCAGUGAGAUACCACUCUGUCAAGGCUAGAAUUCUAACCGUCUGCCGUUAUCCGGCGACGGAACAGUAUCAGGUGGGCAGUUUGACUGGGGCGGUCGCCUCCUAAAUGGUAACGGAGGCGCGCAAAGGUUCCCUCAGGCUGGUUGGAAAUCAGCCGAAGAGUGUAAAGGCAGAAGGGAGCUUGACUGCAAGAGCAACAACUCAAGCAGGGACGAAAGUCGGCCUUAGUGAUCCGACGGUUCUGUGUGGAAGGGCCGUCGCUCAACGGAUAAAAGUUA